GAGUACACCUGGGGUGAGUUACUAGUAUAGUUAGUAGUUAGAGGAGUACACCUGGGGUGAGUUACUAGUAUAGUUAGUAGUUAGAGGAGUACACCUGGGGUGAGUUACUAGUAUAGUUAGUUGUUAAAGGAGUACACCUAGGGUGAGUUACUAGUAUAGUUAGUAGUUAGAGGAGUACACCUGGGGUGGGUUACUAGUAUAGUUAGUAGUUAGAGGAGUACACCUGGGGUGAGUUACUAGUGUAGUUAGUAGAGUACACCUGGGGUGAGUUAUUAGUAUAGUUAGUAGUUAGAAAUGACCUGUGAAAUGAUUCAAAUCCAAUGUAUUGGUCACAUACACGUGUUUAGCAGAUGUUAUUGCGGGUGUAGUGAAAUGCUUGUGCUUCUAACUCCGACAGUGCAGUAAUAUCUAACAAGUAAUAUCUAACAGUUUCACAACAUUUACCCCAAAAUACACGUAAAUCUAAGUAAGGAAUGGAUUAAGAAUAUAUACAUAUGUCAGAGCAGCAUUGGACUAAGAUACAGUGGCACAGUAUAGAAUACAGUAUAUACAUAUGAGAUGGGUGAUGCAAUAUUUACACAGAAUUAAAGUGACUAAGAUACCGUAGAAUAGUAUAGAAUACAGUUUAUACAUAUGAGAUGGGUGAUGCAAUAUUUACACAGAAUUAAAGUGACUAAGAUACCGUAGAAUAGUAUAGAUUACAGUUUAUACAUAUGAGAUGAGUAAUGCAAGAUACAGAAACAUUAAAGUGCCUAUUGUUUCAUUUCCUUAAAGUGGCCAGUGAUUUCUAAUCUAUGUCUAUAGGCAGCAGCCUCUGAUGUGCUGGAGAUGCUGUUUAACAGUCAGUGGUGUAGUAUAGAAUACAAUACAGUAUAUACAUAAGAAAUGGGUGAUGCAAUAUUUAAACACAAUUAAAAGUGACUAAGAUACCGUAGAAUAGUGUAGAGUGCAGUUUAUACAUAUGAGAUGAGUAAUGCUAGAUACAGAAACAUUAUUAAAGUGGCUAAUGAUCCAUUUCUAAAAGUGGCCAGUGAUUUCUAUGUCUGUCUAUAGGCAGCCGCCUCUGAUGUGCUAAUGAUGGGCUGUUUAGCAGUCUGAUGGCCUUGAGAUAGAAGCUGUUUUUCAGUCUCUCGGUCACAGCUUUGAUGCACCUGUACUGACUUCGCCUUCUGGAUGAAUGCGGGGUGAACAGGCAGUGGCUCGGAUGGUUGAUGUCCUUGAUGAUCUUUUUGGCCUUCCUAUGGCAUCGGGUGCUGUAGGUGUCCUGGAGGGCGGGAAGUUUGUCCCCGGUAAUGCGUUGGGCAGACCGCACCACCUUCUGGAGAGCUUUGCGGUUGUGGGCGGUGCAGUUGUUGUACCAGGCGGUGAUACAGCCCGACAGGAUGCUCUUAAUUGUGUAGCUGUAAAAUUUUGUGAGGGUUUUAGGUGCCGAGCCAAAUGUCUUUAGCCUCCUGAGGUUGAAGAGGCGCUGUUGUGCCUUUUUCACCACACUGACUGUGUGGGUGGACCAUUUCAGUUUGUCAGUGAUGUGUACGCCGAGGAACUUGAAGCUUUCAACCUUCACUGCGGUCCCAUUUAUGUGGAUGAGGGGUGCACCCUCUGCUGUUUCCACGAUCAUCUCCUUAGUUUUGUUGACGUUGAGUGAGAAGUUAUUUUCCUGACACCACACUCCGAGGGCCCUCACCUCCUCCUUGUAGGCUGUCUCAUCGUUGUUGGUAAUCAAGCCUACCACUGUAGUGUUGUCUGCAAACUUGAUGAUUGAGUUGGAGGCGUGCUUGGCCACACAGUCAUGGGUGAACAGGGAGUACAGGAGGGGGCUGAGCACGCACCCUUGUGGGGCCCCAGUGUUGAGGAUCAGCAAAGACGAGGUGUUGUUUCCUACCUUCACCACCUGGGGGCGACCUGUCAGGAAGUCCAGGACCCAGUUUCACAGGGCGGGAUUCAGACCCAGGACAUAGAGCUUGAUGAUGAGCUUGGAGAGUACUAUGGUGUUGAAUGCUGAGCUAUAGUCAAUGAACAGCAUUCUUACAUAGGUAUUCCUCUUGUCCAGAUGGGAUACGGCAGUGUGCAGUGUGGCGGCGAUUGCAUCAUCUGUGGAUCUAUUGGGGCAGUAAGCAAAUUGAAGUGGGUCUAGGGUGACAGGUAAGGUGGAGGUGAUAUGAUCCUUGACUAGUCUCUCAAAGCACUUCACGAUGACAGAGGUGAGUGCUACGGGGCGAUAGUAGUUUAGUUCAAUUACCUUUGCUUUCUUAGGUACAGGGACAAUGGUGGCCAUUUUGAAGCAUGUGGGGACAACAGACUGGGAUAGGGAGAGAUUGAAUAUAUCUGUAAACACACCAGCCAGCUGGUCUGCGCAUGCUCUGAGGAUGUGGCUAGGGAUACCAUCUGGGCAGGCAGCCUUGCGAGGGUUAACACUCUUAAGUGUCUUACUCACUUCGGCCAUGGAGAAGGAGAGCCCACAGUCCUUGAUAGCGGACUGCGUCAGUGACACUGUAUUAUCCUCAAAGCAAACGCAGAAGGUGUUCAGCCUGUCCGGGAAGCAAGACGUCGGUGUCCUGGUCGCUAGUUUUCCCUUUAUAAUCCGU
rnacentral:lncRNA from 1 species